GAUGAACGCUGGCGGCGUGCCUAAUACAUGCAAGUCGAGCGAACAGACGAGGAGCUUGCUCCUCUGACGUUAGCGGCGGACGGGUGAGUAACACGUGUAUAACCUACCUAUAAGACUGGGAUAACUUCGGGAAACCGGAGCUAAUACCGGAUAAUAUAUUGAACCGCAUGGUUCAAUAGUGAAAGACGGUUUUGCUGUCACUUAUAGAUGGAUCCGCGCCGCAUUAGCUAGUUGGUAAGGUAACGGCUUACCAAGGCAACGAUGCGUAGCCGACCUGAGAGGGUGAUCGGCCACACUGGAACUGAGACACGGUCCAGACUCCUACGGGAGGCAGCAGUAGGGAAUCUUCCGCAAUGGGCGAAAGCCUGACGGAGCAACGCCGCGUGAGUGAUGAAGGUCUUCGGAUCGUAAAGCUCUGUUAUUAGGGAAGAACAAAUGUGUAAGUAACUAUGCACGUCUUGACGGUACCUAAUCAGAAAGCCACGGCUAACUACGUG
rnacentral:rRNA from 1 species